UUUUCCUAUUUUAAUUUUUUGUUUUGAAAGUAUGGUAAAUACUGGUAAAAUGUACCAACAAUCACAUUUAAAAAUGUACACUUUUAGAUAUACCAUAAAAAUAACAGGUAGCCCAUCUGAAUUAUAGGCCUAUAACAUUUAGUCUAUCCAUCUCAUAGUAGCCUACCAAAACAAUUUUAACAGUAGAAGUGAAAUCUUAUUGUAGUCUUCAAAUGGCGCCACCUAUUAUAGUGGUUGUAUUACUGACAAGUCAAAGUAUAGACCCUGAGUAGGAUAAGAAGACCGCGUUUUUUCAGAUGUAUUUCCAAUAAAAAAAAAACAUUGUUUUAUAUUCGGGUCAAUACGGUAUUACACAACCAGCAUCAUGGUUCAGUGUCUCCAUGAGUUCUGAGUAUUUGAGUUCUGAGUAUUAGUUCUUAGCAGGAGUUCUUAGUAACCUCUCAGUAUCUUCAGCACCUUACUAUGAUGUGAGAAAUGGAAAAGAACAUGAUAAAGAUGAUGUGUGUGUUUGUUCCAACAGGAUAUGGAAGGAUUAUUGAGUGAGUCAGAGUGUAAUCCUGAUAGUGUGUGUGUGUGUGUGUGUAAGCCUCUGUUGAUUCACAUGGGGACAUUAUGCUUCUGUUAUUAUGCACACGUGAAGCUUAUUAGCAUGGUCUGACACUCUGAAACCAAUGAACAAUACGCAUACACACACACACACACACUUCCUUCAGCUCAGAGACACUACCGAAACUACAGAAUGUGUAGUCUGGAUGAGGUUCCAUUUAAAGUUGCUCUGGACUCUGUGGAGAUACAGUUGGGUCAGAAAGAGCCGGUCACAGCUCCUGAACUUACGAUCCCAGACUGUGCUCAAAUACUGCGUGAUACAAAGGUCAGAAUAGUUUGCUUAUAUUCAUCAUAUACAUUUGAAAUUUUAUGUUAAAUGCAUCUUUAUAUUUAACAGUGUUCAUAUGUUGUCCUGUUUGACAGUAUUCAUUCACUCUGGAGAAAAAGAUCCUGGCUGCAUGGGAAGAACAGCAGUGGAAGAACAGGAAAGCCAAAAAAACACCCCAGAGUGUGUGUCCCA
ensembl:lncRNA